rnacentral:lncRNA from 1 species
AUUAAUUAUUAAUAGCCGUUUGAUAAAGCUUUACCUCAAGCUAAGAAAACAGCAUUCUACUUUGCAGCUUCUUUUUCUAUAUAAAGUUUCAUUUUAUUUUGUUUCUUAUUAAGUUGCAGCUAUUUAUCUACCAUGCCCCAUCUUCCUUCUGUACAUUGUAUAUUGAAUCCAUAAUUUACUAUUGUUGCUUGCCCUCCCAGAACACUGUUCUUUAUGUACUGCUGGGAGCAAUAUAUAUAGUCCAAACUCACUAUCUUUUCCUCUUUGUCUACCCAAACGUAACACCCAAGAGAAGACUCUCAUUUUCCAUACUGCAGACAAUGCUGACAUGACCAGCAGUACAGCAGACUAGGUGCCCAACUUACGAGCUUGAAAUGCCUAGGUGCAUGCCAUUCAUGUCAAGUCAAACAUACACCCCUCCCGUUUCUGAUCCCUCCAGGAUCUUAGUAUCUGAAUGAGUUGUCCUAAAGAGAAAAUAAUAAAUAAAACAUCAGACAAACUGCUUUCCAUCUCUCUUG